rnacentral:rRNA from 1 species
CGGACGGGUGAGUAACGCGUGGAAAACCUGCCGUAUACUGGGGGAUAACACUUAGAAAUAGGUGCUAAUACCGCAUAAGCGCACAGCUUCGCAUGAAGCGGUGUGAAAACUCUGGUGGUAUACGAUGGUUCCGCGUCUGAUUAGCUAGUUGGUGGGGUAAUGGCCUACCAAGGCAACGAUCAGUAGCCGGCCUGAGAGGGUGAACGGCCACAUUGGGACUGAGACACGGCCCAAACUCCUACGGGAGGCAGCAG